rnacentral:rRNA from 1 species
UACGGGGGGGGCAAGCGUUGUUCGGAAUUACUGGGCGUAAAGGGCUCGUAGGCGGCCAACUAAGUCAGACGUGAAAUCCCUCGGCUUAACCGGGGAACUGCAUCUGAUACUGGAUGGCUUGAGUUCGGGAGAGGGAUGCGGAAUUCCAGGUGUAGCGGUGAAAUGCGUAGAUAUCUGGAGGAACACCGGUGGCGAAGGCGGCAUCCUGGACCAACACUGACACUGAGGAGCGAAAGCUAGGGGAGCAAACAGG